UAGCUCAGUUGGUAGAGUGCUUGCCUAGCAUGCACAAGGCCCUGGGUUCAACCCCCAGCACCACUUAAAAAAUUAAAAAAAAAAAAAAAGAGGCAUAAUGGACGACCAAUAUAAAUGAAAAAUAAAUUAACAUUACAGAGACCAUAGACAUUAGAAAGAUAAUAAAGGAAAACUUUGGACGACUCCCUGCUCACAAAUUUGAUAGCUUGAAAGAAAGGGAUCAAUUGUGAAAUGGCGGAAACUACAAAAACCUAUCUCCUCAAUUUCUCUGUUAGCCUAAAGCUCUUGUAAACAGAUCCUAUUAUAUUUUUAAAAUCUGAUAGUGUAGUUUCUAUAAGCACAAAUCCUACAAAGAUAGAGGUAGAAGUGAGAGACCCCAACCCAAUAACUUUAGGCCCAGUUACAAAAUCAUCAAGGCUUGCUUUUGCACCUGCACAGGCGUCAGAUGUGUUUUUCAGAUAAUCAGUUAAGUGUAACCAAUUAGGAAAGAACAGGAUGGUUGGGAAAGAACCGGCACGGUUGAGCAAACGGAAGCAUACAGUGAAAAAUAAGUGGUUUUUAUGUGGUUUUCCAGGAACCUAUAGUGAAAAACAAGUUUACCCUUUAAGUGACCUAUAUGCUGGAUUCAAAAGAGCCAAUGAGAUACCUGCUACUGUGCUAGGCGGGAAACUGACCACUGUACCCUAUAAAAGAUCUGUACCCCAAAGCCCGGUGUGCCAGUUCACCUAAGCUCCAGCUGAGGUGUUGGUGAGCACCCGCAGGCGCCUGUGUAUUAAUAAACUUGCC
rnacentral:lncRNA from 1 species